GCAGACACAUUCCAGCCAAUCAGCAGCAGACCCUCCCUCCCAGACCCUCCCACCUCCUGGACAGCAUCCAUUUUACAUUCAUUGUGAAGCUGUAUUCUUAGUGAGCUGUCCAGGAGGUGGGAGGGUCUGGGAGGGAGGGUCUGCUGCUGAUUGGCUGGAAUGUGUCUG